rnacentral:lncRNA from 1 species
AUCGGAUAGGGCGGGCUUGGCGCUGGCGAGGUGAGAGCUCCAAACUUGAAGCGGCGCCACGGCCAAGGUGUCCUCUGUCGCCAUUGCAGGAGCUGCGAGGGUGCGCGAAUCCGAAUGGUGGCUGAUUGGUGAACCUAGAGCACCCUUUGCCCCAGGUUCUAGCUCUGGCCCGGUUUUUUCUCUUUACAUUUAAGCUGUAGGCAGAGGAAAUCCUCGUUAGAGGCCUUCUCCCCACCCCGCUUCUCAGCCACAAACUGUUGUUUCAUUAGGAAUCUCACCAGAAACCCGUUUUCAGGUGAAGGCCGAGUACUCAGCCCCUUGUGGUGCCUGGUUUUACUUGAUCACAUUGUAAUUCCAUCCUAGGAACCACUCUAUAAGUUCACUUAACAGAGAGAAGUGGAGUGGUUCUUAGCAACCUUUUGCGAUGUAACUUAACCACCAAAGAGAUAUCUGGCUAAUAUGGCAGCUCUCGAGAAGUCCGUAUUUACACGUUGCCAGAAAGAGGGGGAAAGCGACACCAAGAAUCCAUUCCAAACGAAAAACCAAGAGGAGACGCGGCAGCUCCUAGAUGUUGAUGUUUUGUUUUUUUGACAUAAAUCUUCGCACUCAUAUGGGAGUUUUCAUUGAUUCGUGUUCCCAUCUGCUGAAUUUCCUUUUAUUUAUUUAAUAUUGCUUUUUGGGGAAAUCUUGCUUCGAAGCUCUGGAGAAGCAUAAACCGUGGCAACCACUGCAGCCCUCCUCCCUCUUGCAAGCCUUGGCUGCUGGGGGCAGGGAGAUGCGGUGGCGUCCUGCGGAGUGGGUGCUGGGCAUCCUCCAGGAGGGGCUGGCGCUGCAGGCCUGCGCUAAUGUGGCAAUUCUGUCUUCCGAGCCUUCCAGAGGCAGGGGGAGAGGUAGAGUGAGGAAGGGAGGAAGAGAGGGGCAGACUGGCUGACUGUUCUUCGUGCUUCCUGCUCAUCCCCAACACUUCAUACGUCCCUUUCGCACUAAUGUACACUUUGCUUUUGACACCAUGGAUAGUAGGAAACGUCUAACAGUGGGCAUCUAUAUUAAUAAGAUUGUACAUCUCACCGUCCAAUCAGUACCCUUCCACCUCAAUAGUGAUCCAUCAGUAAUUACAGACUCCAACUCUGGAAUCAGACUGAAUCUUGACGACUUUCCAGAGGGAAUUCUUGAAUAAAUUUACUUUUUAAGAGCUUGGGGGGGGGGGAACUUUUGGGAUAGCAUUGGAAAUGUAAUUGAAGAAAAUACGUAAUAAAAAAAAAAGAGCUUUGGGUUUCCUACAUAUAAGAUAGGAACGAUUACUACAUU